rnacentral:rRNA from 1 species
GACGAACGCUGGCGGCGUGCUUAACACAUGCAAGUCGAGCGGUAAGGCCCUUUCGGGGGUACGACGAGCGGCGAACGGGUGAGUAACACGUGGGUGACCUGCCCUCAGCUCUGGGAGUAAGCCUGGGAAACCGGGUCUAAUACUGGAUAUGACUCCAUGACGCAUGUUGUGGGGUGGAAAGCCUUGUGCGGCUGAGGAUGGGCCCGCGGCCUAUCAGCUUGUUGGUGGGGU